CCUACGGGAGGCAGCAGUGGGGGAUAUUGCACAAUGGGGGGAACCCUGAUGCAGCGACGCCGCGUGGGUGAAGAAGCGCCUCGGCGCGUAAAGCCCUGUCAGCAGGAAAGAAAAUGACGGUACCUGAAGAAGAAGCCCCGGCUAACUACGUGCCAGCAGCCGCGGUAAUACGUAGGGGGCAAGCGUUAUCCGGAUUUACUGGGUGUAAAGGGGGCGCAGACGGCGAUGCAAGCCAGGAGUGAAAGCCCGGGGCCCAACCCCGGGACUGCUAUUGGAACUGCGUGGCUGGAGUGCAGGAGGGGCAGGCGGAAUUCCUGGUGUAGCGGUGGAAUGCGUAGGUAUCAGGGGGAACACCGGUGGCGGAGGCGGGCUGCUGGACUGCAACUGACGUUGAGGCCCGAAAGCGUGGGGUGCAAACAAGAUUAGGUACCCUAGUAGUC
rnacentral:rRNA from 1 species